rnacentral:rRNA from 1 species
UACGAAGGGGGGCUAGCGUUGCUCGGAAUCACUGGGCGUAAAGGGUGCGUAGGCGGGUCUUUAAGUCAGGGGUGAAAUCCUGGAGCUCAACUCCAGAACUGCCUUUGAUACUGAGGAUCUUGAGUUCGGGGAGAGGUGAGUGGAACUGCGAGUGUAGAGGUGAAAUUCGUAGAUAUUCGCAAGAACACCAGUGGCGAAGGCGGCUCACUGGCCCGAUACUGACGCUGAUGUGCGAAAGCGUGGGGAGCAAACAGG